rnacentral:rRNA from 1 species
CCCUUAGAUGUUCGGGGCCGCACGCGCGCUACACUGAAGGACUCAGCGUGUCUCUCCCCCUAUCCCGAAAGGGAUGGGCAACCCGUUGAACCUCCUUCGUGCUAGGGAUUGGGGUUUGCAAUUAUCCCCCAUGAACGAGGAAUUCCCAGUAAGCGCGAGUCAUCAGCUCGCGUUGAUUACGUCCCUGCCCUUUGUACACACCGCCCGUCGCUACUACCGAUUGGAUGGUUUAGUGAGACCCUCGGAUCGGUCCCGACUCGGGGUGGGCUUCUGCCCCGGUCGUGGUUUCGCCGAGAAGACGGUCAAACUUGACCAUCUAGAGGAAGUAAAAGUCGUAACA